GGGGCGGUAGCUCAGUUGGGAGAGCGCCGGCUUUGCAAGCCGGAGGUCGAGGGUUCAAGUCCCUUCCGCUCCA
rnacentral:tRNA from 1 species